rnacentral:rRNA from 1 species
GCAAGUCGAGGGGUAACAGGUAGCUUGCUAUGCUGACGACCGGCGCACGGGUGCGUAACGCGUAUAGAACCUACCUUAUAGUAAGGGAUAGCCCAGAGAAAUUUGGAUUAAUACCUUAUAGUAUUGGAUUGUGGCAUCACAGACCAAUUAAAGAUUUAUUGCUAUAAGAUGGCUAUGCGUUCUAUUAGCUAGUUGGUAUGGUAACGGCACACCUAGUCUACGAUGGAUAGGGGUUCUGAGAGGAAGAUC